AUGUUUUUUACAUCGCAGGAAAUCAAUAUCAAACGGAGUCAAAAUGCCACGAAACUCCAUGAUGAUUUUUAUGGGCCAGAAGGAAGGCAUUGGGCCCUGGUUGCACCUGGGGGGUGCCCCGAGGGGGGCACAACCCACCAGGGCACGCCAGGAGGCUCUAUCUCUUUUCACAAGUACAAAUGGCCAUCAAAGAUUAGCAAAGCUAUACCAAAAAUAGGUUCACGUAAGAAAUUGCCUAUUAGUUUGCGUAGGAAUGCCCGUUUUAGUUUACGGAAGAGUGCACGUAGAAUAACAAAAGGGGUUAUUCAUGUGAAAGCCAGUUUCAACAAUACCGAAAUCAUAACAUUAACAUUUCUAUAUUCGAAUUUGAGAUAUAUAUACCGGACCUGA
rnacentral:rRNA from 1 species